rnacentral:rRNA from 1 species
UACGAAGGGGGCUAGCGUUGUUCGGAUUUACUGGGCGUAAAGCGCGCGUAGGCGGACCUGCAAGUCGGGGGUGAAAGCCCGAGGCUCAACCUCGGAACUGCCUUCGAUACUGCGGGUCUCGAGUCCGGGAGAGGUGAGUGGAAUUCCUAGUGUAGAGGUGAAAUUCGUAGAUAUUAGCUAGAACACCAGUGGCGAAGGCGGCCAACUGGGCCGGUACUGACGCUGAGAUGCGAAAGCGUGGGGAGCAAACAGG